rnacentral:rRNA from 1 species
CCUACGGGUGGCUGCAGUGGGGGAUAUUGCACAAUGGGGGAAACCCUGAUGCAGCGACGCCGCGUGGGUGAAGAAGUAUUUCGGUAUGUAAAGCCCUAUCAGCAGGGAAGAAAGAAGACGGUACCUGACUAAGAAGCCCCGGCUAACUACGUGCCAGCAGCCGCGGUAAUACGUAGGGGGCGAGCGUUAUCCGGAUUCACUGGGUGUAAAGGGAGCGUAGACGGCCGUGCAAGCCAGGAGUGAAAGCCCGGGGCCCAACCCCGGGACUGCUCUUGGAACUGUGCGGCUAGAGUGCGGGAGGGGCAGGCGGAAUUCCUGGUGUAGCGGUGAAAUGCGUAGAUAUUAGGAGGAACACCAGUGGCGAAGGCGGCUUACUGGACUGUAACUGACGUUGAGGCUCGAAAGCGUGGGGAGCAAACAGGAUUAGAUACCCCUGUAGUC